GUCCGGGUGGCGGAAUGGCAGACGCGCUAGCUUGAGGUGCUAGUGCCCGACUAAGGGCGUGGGGGUUCAAGUCCCCCUCCGGACA
rnacentral:tRNA from 2 species